rnacentral:lncRNA from 1 species
UUAGCCACGAUACAAGCCUAAUAAAGCCCACACAGAUUGAACAAUGAUUGCUCAAAUUUUCAUAAAGCUUAAUUUUGCGAUAAGGUGAAUUGACAUUCAAUAUGUCGUAAAAAAAAAAGGUUUAAAAAUGAAAAAAAAAAGAAAACAUGAUAUCUAGGGAAGAGGGAAUCACCCUGCCAUUCAACCAGAAGCAUGCGAAAGAAAAUAAAACCCAUUGGGGGGCAUCCUUUUAGCCGAUCCUUUUCAUGCCCACUACCUCUUCCAAACUGAACCCCUUGCCGAAGAAAAAUUGGGGCAACUUUGUGAACCUCACACGAAUUUUUUUCAUCAACCCAUACCACGAUAAAAAAAACUGGGGCAGCUUUGUGAAUCUCACACAAAAUUUCAUCAAUCCAUAAUCCAUUGACUGGGGCAACUUUGCAAGUCUCACUUGAUUUUGUGCCACCCUAAUUUUCAUGGAUCCAAACCCCAACUCAUUUUCCUAAACACAAAAUCGGGGCAAAAUUUUUGAUAUAUUGUGUUUCGUCUUGACACUCACAUAUUACGUCUCUUUUGAGGAUUGAAGUACCCAUGUGCUGGUCCCAGUCUUCCAAACCCUUCUAAACAUCUCUCAUG